AUGACCAGUCACACUGGGACUGAGACACGGGCCAGACUCCUACGGGAGGCAGCAGUGGGGAAUUUUCCGCAAUGGGCGAAAGCCUGACGGAGCAAUACCGCGUGAGGGACGAAGGCUUUUGGGUCGUAAACCUCUUUUCCCUGAGAAGAAGAUCUGACGGUAUCAGGGGAAUCAGCAUCGGCUAACUUCGUGCCAGCAGCCGCGGUAAUACGAGGGAUGCAAGCGUUAUCCGGAAUUAUUGGGCGUAAAGCGUCCGCAGGUGGCUCUGUAAGUCUGUCGUUAAAGAAUGGGGCUCAACCC
rnacentral:rRNA from 1 species